UACGUAGGGUGCAAGCGUUGUCCGGAAUUAUUGGGCGUAAAGAGCUCGUAGGCGGUUUGUCGCGUCUGCUGUGAAAACCCGAGGCUCAACCUCGAGACGUCGGUUGAAACCAUCUGGCUAGAGUCCGGAAGAGGAGUGUGGAAUUCCCGGUGUAGCGGUGAAAUGCGCAGAUAUCGGGAAGAACACCCGUGGCGAAGGCGGCACUCUGGGACGGUACUGACGCUGAGACGCGAAAGCGUGGGGAGCGAACGAGG
rnacentral:rRNA from 1 species